AUGGAAUAGAAAAUUGAGUUGAAUACACCGGUUCUCAUCCGAUCACCGAAGUCAAGCAACAUCGGGCGUCAGUGCUUGGAUGGGUGACCGCCUGGGAACACCACGUGAUGUUGCCUU
rnacentral:rRNA from 1 species